rnacentral:lncRNA from 11 species
AUUUAUAUCCCACCACUGUCUCCCAAAAGGGACUUGGGGCGGCUUACACAACAGCACAUAAAAACACAUAAAAUACAUCAACAUUUUUAACAGUAACAGUAUCAACAGAUAUUGUAACAGUAACAGAUGUCAUCAUUGCGGAUGUGCUCAAAGCAUUUGAUGCCAGAUGUAAGUCGUAACAUCUUCAUCACCAUAACACCUGGGUGGCAUUCUGCUUUCUUUGUUACCAGGCAACAUUCAGCUCCAUAUAUUGCGGCAGACCUAUGACAGUUCAAUAGUAACAAAAUGCUAUAAUAGAAUGGUAUGUAACUUCAAAUCUACCUUGUGUCAAGAGUAUCAGCAGCCCUGUGGAGAUGGCAGUGGCAGCAGUAGCGAGAGGAAGGUGGAGAGUUUGAGCUGUGACAAACAGCCUGAACCAGAAUUCAACCUGCAGCUUGGCCUGUCAGUCUGUUCUGGUGAGUUUGGUUCAAGAGCUUGGUUCAAGAGCCCAGGUUUCCCUCCAGACUUUGAUUGGUACCAAACACUGACACAUAUCGCUCUACAAGAUAAAUCUUAUUGGUAGUAAAUGAUGCAGCAUGGUAUAGAACAGAGGAGCAUUCCAGCCCCUUUGAUGAAAGGGCCUAACAUCCUCUGUGAUGGAACUGAGCCCCUGACCAACUAAUCCUACCCAGAUGAUCCCUGGCCAGCAAACCAAGUCCCCAUGGCCAGCUAAAUGGGGAGCUCUUGGGCUGGGCUGCAAUAAGGUAUGCAUGUCUAUGGGAAUGAUGCAACUUUCCCCUCCUAUUCUUUAA